GACGAACCGUGCGAACGUUGUUCGGAUUCACUGGGCUUAAAGGGCGCGUAGGCGGCUCCUCAAGUCGGGGGUGAAAUCCUCUCGCUUAACGAGAGAAUUGCCUCCGAUACUGGGGAGCUGGAGGGGGAUAGGGGUGCGCGGAACUUCCGGUGGAGCGGUGAAAUGCGUAGAUAUCGGAAGGAACGCCGGUGGCGAAAGCGGCGCACUGGAUCCCCACUGACGCUGAGGCGCGAAAGCCAGGGGAGCAAACGGG
rnacentral:rRNA from 2 species